rnacentral:rRNA from 1 species
UACGAAGGGUGCAAGCGUUACUCGGAAUUACUGGGCGUAAAGCGUGCGCAGGCGGUUGUGCAAGACAGAUGUGAAAUCCCCGGGCUUAACCUGGGAACUGCAUUUGUGACUGCACGGCUGGAGUGCGGCAGAGGGGGAUGGAAUUCCGCGUGUAGCAGUGAAAUGCGUAGAUAUGCGGAGGAACACCGAUGGCGAAGGCAAUCCCCUGGGCCUGCACUGACGCUCAUGCACGAAAGCGUGGGGAGCAAACAGG